rnacentral:misc_RNA from 1 species
GGAGUAGGAGGACUGUAUUACCUUUCAUAUUUGGACGGGAAUAUGCUUUUGGGUCGUUCUGUGGGUGGCGGCGGAGUUUUUGUGUUCACCAAAGCUCAACCUCUCCAAUGCUAAACCGAAGAAACAGAUUACAACUGAGUACCUUGUCGCCGACUUCUCUUUUUUUCUUCUUUCCGCAUCAGUUUCGGUAUCUGUUUGAGAAACUAAAACUUGUUUGGUUAGGCCAAUAAAUUUGAUUAGUUA